CGCCAAGUACGGCCCGGGCCCGGCGCGACUAGGGGCAGGGAGGGGGCGGGCCGGGCCGCGUGGAGUCGGGCUGACCCGGGUGACCUUGGCCAGGCCACGUGGGCGCCCCCUGUCUCCGUUUCCUCCUCUCGGAGUUGUGCCGGGAACGCGCACCACCGGCCUUCACCCCUUAGGGCGCGGCAGGGGACGCAGGGGAAAUCGAAGCUGCCAGAUGCCCACGACCACAACGUCACCCUCCAGAUUGCCCUCUCGGAGGGGCCCAGUCCGCGCAGGUGGCUGCUCCCUACUGCCUGAGCUGUGGCUGAGCAGCAGAUUGGGGAGAAACAGGCUCUCGCACCUUGUCCUUUAUUCGACGAUUUCUUCAAUGGACAGAAUUAUUAGAUCCUACAAAUGUGUUCAUUUCAGUUGAAAGUAUAGAAAACUCGAGGCAACUAUUGUGCACAAAUGAAGAUGUUUCCAGCCCUGCCUCGGCGGACCAAAGGGCAACAGUGCAUCCCGACAGCAGCAACCUGAUCCCCAAGCUUUUUCGACCUGCAGCGUUCCUGCCUUUCAUGGCACCCACGGUAUUUUUGUCAAUGACGCCACUGAAAGGGAUCAAGUCCGUGAUUUUACCUCAGGUUUUCCUCUGUGCCUACAUGGCAGCGUUCAACAGCAUCAAUGGAAACAGAAGUUACACUUGUAAGCCACUAGAAAGAUCAUUACUAAUGGCGGGAGCCGUUGCUUCUUCAACUUUCUUAGG
rnacentral:lncRNA from 1 species